rnacentral:rRNA from 1 species
UACAGAGGUCUCGAGCGUUGUUCGGAUUCAUUGGGCGUAAAGGGUGCGUAGGCGGCGGUGUAAGUCUGAUGUGGAAUCCCGGGGCUCAACCCUGGAACUGCAUUGGAUACUGCCUUGCUUGAGAGCUGGAGAGGAAACUGGAAUUUACGGUGUAGCAGUGAAAUGCGUAGAGAUCGUAAGGAAGACCAGUGGCGCAGGCGAGUUUCUGGACAGCUACUGACGCUGAGGCACGAAGGCCAGGGGAGCAAACGGG